CUUGUGCAAUAGCCCAGAGAAAGCUGUUGGAUGACUGUGGUGGUGGUGAUCUUAUCGCUGAUCUGCAUAGUCAUCAGCCUGCUAGUGAUCUUCGAGGUGCUAUGGAACAGCUCCGCCGGUGACAUCACAAUACGAGAGCCCGGAGAGGUGACCAUCCACUUUGGCAAUCAGGAGGACAACGAUCAGGUGUUGGUCGUUCCACAACCGACGUAUGAAGUUGCGCCGAUGACAACGCCGAGAAAGGAACCGACCACCGCGCAGACUUCGCUGAUAACCGCAGCGCAGACUUCCACGGAAAUGAGAACCGAAGAAAUAACACCCAAGAACGUCAAAACACAGACGACAAAGAAAAUGACAACCGAAGAAAUAACAGCCAAGAUAGCCAAAACACAGACGACCAAGAAAACG